AUUGAACGCUGGCGGAAUGCUUUACACAUGCAAGUCGAGCGGCAGCGCGGGGGCAACCCUGGCGGCGAGCGGCGAACGGGUGAGUAAUACAUCGGAACGUGUCCUUAAGUGGGGGAUAGCUCGGCGAAAGCCGGAUUAAUACCGCAUAAGCUCUGAGGAGGAAAGCGGGGGAUUCGCAAGGACCUCGCGCUGUUGGAGCGGCCGAUGUCGGAUUAGCUAGUUGGUGAGGAAUGGCUCACCAAGGCUUCGAUCUGUAGCUGGUCUGAGAGGACGGCCAGCCACACUGGCACUGACACACGGGCCAGACUCCUACGGGAGGCAGCAGUGGGAAUUUUGGGCAAUGGGCGAAAGCCUGACCCAGCAACGCCGCGUGAGGGAGGAAAU
rnacentral:rRNA from 1 species